GACGAACGCUGGCGGCGUGCUUAACACAUGCAAGUCGAACGGUGAAGCGCCUUCCUUUUUGGUGGGUGUGGAUGAGUGGCGAACGGGUGAGUAACACGUGAGUAACCUGCCCCCUUCUUCUGGAUAACCGCAUGAAAGUGUGGCUAAUACGGGAUAUUCUGGGUCUGUCGCAUGAUGGGUCUGGGAAAGAUAUUGUUUCGGUGGGGGAUGGGCUCGCGGCCUAUCAGCUUGUUGGUGGGGUGAUGGCCUACCAAGGCGGUGACGGGUAGCCGGCCUGAGAGGGUGGACGGUCACACUGGGACUGCGACACGGCCAAGACUCCUACGGGAGGCAGCAGGGGGGAAUAUUGAACAAUGGGCGCAAGCCUGAUGCAGCGACGCCGCGUGAGGGAUGGAGGCCUUCGGGUUGUGAACCUCUUUCGCCAGUGAAGCAGGCCUGCCUCGUUUGUGGGUGGGUUGACGGUAGCUGGAUAAGAAGCGCCGGCUAACUACGUG
rnacentral:rRNA from 1 species